rnacentral:tRNA from 1 species
GGGGGAAAUUAAAUCGGGGCUUCUAACCUUGAUUAGGGCGCGCAUGUCCGUCCCCCU